GGGCCUGUAGCUCAGUUGGUUAGAGCGUUCGACUCAUAAUCGAAUGGUCGUAGGUUCAAGUCCUACCAGGCCCA
rnacentral:tRNA from 1 species